rnacentral:rRNA from 1 species
CCUACGGGAGGCUGCAGUGAGGAAUAUUGGUCAAUGGGCGCGAGCCUGAACCAGCCAAGUAGCGUGAAGGAUGACUGCCCUACGGGUUGUAAACUUCUUUUAUAAAGGAAUAAAGUGAGGCACGUGUGCCUUUUUGUAUGUACUUUAUGAAUAAGGAUCGGCUAACGCCGUGCCAGCAGCCGCGGUAAUACGGAGGAUCCGAGCGUUAUCCGGAUUUAUUGGGUGUAAAGGGAGCGUAGAUGGGUUGUUAAGUCAGUUGUGAAAGUUUGCGGCUCAACCGUAAAAUUGCAAUGGAUACUGGCAGCCUAGAGUACAGUAGAGGUAGGCGGAAUUCGUGGUGUAGCGGUGAAAUGCUUAGAUAUCACGAAGAACUCCGAUUGCGAAGGCGGCCUACUAAGCUGCCACUGACAUUGAGGCUCGAAAGUGUGGGUAUCAAACGGGAUUAGAUACCCGUGUAGUC